GCAUUAGUAGCUCAAAGAUAGAGCGCCGGCCUUGUAAGCCGGAGGUCGAAGGAUAAAACCCCUCCUAAUGCU